ACUCCUACGGGAGGCAGCAGUAGGGAAUCUUCCACAAUGGACGAAAGUCUGAUGGAGCAACGCCGCGUGAGUGAAGAAGGGUUUCGGCUCGUAAAACUCUGUUGUUAAAGAAGAACAUAUCUGAGAGUAACUGUUCAGGUAUUGACGGUAUUUAACCAGAAAGCCACGGCUAACUACGUGCCAGCAGCCGCGGUAAUACGUAGGUGGCAAGCGUUGUCCGGAUUUAUUGGGGCAUAAAGCGAGCGCAGGCGGUCUUUUAAGUCUGAUGUGAAAGCCUUCGGCUCAACCGAAGAAGUGCAUCGGAAACUGGGAAACUUGAGUGCAGAAGAGGACAGGUGGAACUCCAUGUGUAGCGGUGAAAUGCGUAGAUAUAUGGAAGAACACCAGUGGCGAAGGCGGCUGUCUGGUCUGUAACUGACGCUGAGGCUCGAAAGUAUGGGGUAGCAAACAGGAUUAGAUA
rnacentral:rRNA from 1 species